rfam:Enterococcus villorum ATCC 700913 genomic scaffold acvIF-supercont1.3, whole genome shotgun sequence.
GGUCUGGUAGUUCAGUUGGUUAGAAUGCCUGCCUGUCACGCAGGAGGUCGCGGGUUCGAGUCCCGUCCAGACCG